rnacentral:rRNA from 1 species
AAAGCGCACGUAGGCGGCUUUGUAAGUAAGAGGUGAAAGCCCAGAGCUCAACUCUGGAAUUGCCUUUUAGACUGCAUCGCUUGAAUCAUGGAGAGGUCAGUGGAAUUCCGAGUGUAGAGGUGAAAUUCGUAGAUAUUCGGAAGAACACCAGUGGCGAAGGCGGCUGACUGGACAUGUAUUGACGCUGAGGUGCGAAAGCGUGGGGAGCAAACAGGAUUAGAUACCCUUGU